AUGGGCUGGGUGCAGGAUCCUCAUAUUCAAGAGCUGCUUCUCAAGCAGACAGAUAACGCAAGAGCUGCCGCCCGAGAGAAAGCCAAGAUGGAUCAACUUGAGUUAGACGCGGUUACUCCAUUGUAUGAAGGAUGCAGGCCCGAGGAUACCCGCCUGAAAGUAACGCUCAUGGCUCUGGAGAUGAAGGUAAAACACAAAAUGACUGACGCAUGCUUCGACGAGAACAUGUCAUUCUGGCACGAACGUCUUCCCAAGGGGAACAAGUGCCCAACCAGUUUGGAGGAGGCGAAGAAAAUCGUGUGUCCUCUGGAUUUACCGCACGUGAAAUACCAUGUGUGCAUGAACAAUUGCAUCAUUUAUCGGGACGAGCACGCGGAGUCUACCAUAUGUCCGGUGUGCGGCGUCACUCGAUACAAGAAGAGGAAGAAAGCUCCUCGAAAAGUGGUGUGGUACUUUCCGAUCACUCCUCGUCUGCAGCGGUAUUUCACGGAUCCUAAGGUAGCAAAGCUCCUGCGUUGGCACGCGGAUAGGGAGGAGAAGAAGCGAGAAGAUGACGCAAAUGAUCUGGAGAUAGAUAAAAAAGACAAGAUGCUGAGUCACCCUAAGGAUGUGAGCCAGUGGCAAGCGUUGAACUACGAGACCCAGAAUUUGGGAACGAUCUAA
rnacentral:rRNA from 1 species